GCCGCGGUAGCUCAAUUGGUAGAGCAUCGCCCGCGUAAGGCAAAUACGUGGGAUCGAUCCCCACUUGCGGCA